rnacentral:lncRNA from 1 species
AUUCCUCAAUUCUACCAGAUCUAGUUUGCAUCUUUUCCUCCAACCCGUCUAUUUCGCUAAUAUACCUGACUAUCCAUUCCGCAAUUUCUUUCCCAGUACUGUAUAAACUGAUUUCUUUUUGUCCAGAUCCCUCAUAUUGCACAGUAGAAUAAUCGACAUUGUAUACUAGUGCUAUUUCUAAAUAUCCAGGUAAUCCAUUCCCCACCAUUCAACUUUGAGUUUGGUAGUAUCCAAUUGAGAUUUAAAUUUUCCCAAACCUCUAAUGAUGUAGGGCAUUCCCUGAAAAUAUGGACAAUGUUUUCCGUUGCUCCACCUCAUCUGGGAUAAAGUGC